rnacentral:rRNA from 1 species
UACAGAGGUCUCAAGCGUUGUUCGGAAUCACUGGGCGUAAAGGGUGCGUAGGCUGCACGGUAAGUCAGAGGUGAAAUCCCGGAGCUCAACUUCGGAAUUGCCUCCGAUACUGCCGUGCUUGAGGACUGGAGAGGAGAUUGGAAUUCUCAGUGGAGCAGUGAAAUGCGUAGAUAUUGUGAGGAACACUAGUGGCGAAGGCGAAUCUCUGGACAGUUCCUGACGCUGAGGCACGAAGGCCAGGGGAGCAAACGGG